AGGGUGGACGGUCCCUCCGGAGCCCAACUCUGCCCCCCUCCCGUCCGUUGAUCUGAGGUCAGGCUGGCACGAUGACGCAGCGUUCAACGCCCUCCUCCCCUCUGAGGUCAGAGGUCAUGUGACGAUGACAUCAUCAGCUUCAUGUUGCACCUCCAACAUUUCAUCUGCUGUUUGUUUCCGACCACGAGCAAAGGUCCCUGAACGCAUCGCAGACAGACCGAAGGUCCCUGAACGCAUCGCCGACAGGCCAAAGGUCCCUGAACGCAUCACAGACAGACCGAAGGUCCCUGAAAGCAUCGCCGACAGGCCAAAGGUCCCUGAACGCAUCACAGACAGAUCGAAGACCCCUGAACGCAUCGCCGACAGGCCAAAGGUCCCUGAACCCAUCGCAGACAGACUGAAGGUCCCUGAAUGCAUCGCAGACAGACUGAAGCUCCCUGAACGCAUCGCUAAUACGCUGCCUACACCACAGGAACUUCAACACCUCGCUCCCCACCUGGUGUACCUGACAACCUCGUCAACAAUGACAUCACUCAGCUGUCAUGAUGACAGGAAAAAAUAACAAGGGUUCUCAAGGUUCUCCAAGUUCAAGUUCCAGGUUGUUGAGUUGCUGUCGUGGGAAACGCCGUCUCCACCUGACCUGACCAAUCACCCGUCAGUAUGGACCUGCGGCGGCCUGAAGCGGCAUCAGACGAACUGACACAAGGAGACACAGUGAAUGUAGACGUCCAAUCAGCAUCCAGCAGUUUUAGUUUGACCGUCAUGAUGUCGUCAAGUUUUAACCAAUGAGAGAUGUCGGGCCAAAGGUCACAUGAGACAGGAAGUGAGGCUUUCUGAGAGGGUCUGCAGGGGUCUAUGGGGGUCUACAGGGGUCUGUGGUGGUCUAAGGUUCAGGUCUCAGGAGUUGGCGUGACGCACACCUGGAGAAUUUAAACUUUUAUUCUGAAAGGUUCAUCUCGACGUCACUGAGCACUGAUCAGACUUUUAUUUUUUCAGACGUUUGCACUUCCUGCAUCCGACUCAAACAGACGGUCUGACGACUUCCUGUUUCUUGUUUGAACCAAACUUCAUUUAACUUCCUGUGAAUUUUACGAAUUAAAAUAAAUCGACAUAGUCGAGAAUCAGAGGAUUUAGUUUUAUUUUGGCGGCGACUCACAUUCAGAGAGAGAGAAAAGAUGGUGGACCCCGACACUGCUUCCUGUCAUCCUGUACUUGUUGAACUUUAAUUAGUUUGAGCGUUAAUGACAUCAUCGUCUGAUUUUGUACAGAUGUUCAUGAAUGUACAGAAACAAAGAAACAAAUAAAGAGACACAUGUUUGACAAUCA